rnacentral:tRNA from 1 species
GUGAGUAUAGCUCAGUUGGUUAGAGCGCUGGAUUGUGGUUCCAGAGGUCGCCGGUUCAAAUCCGGUUAUUCACCCUA